rnacentral:misc_RNA from 1 species
UUACUUCAUAUCAUUUCAUUAUGUAUUUCUAAUUUUCCGUUACGGCAAAAACAAACUUAAACUGCGAUAAUAUCCAUCGAGACAACGAUCUACAGUGAGAUCCGCUACAAUAAAGUGCACGCGUACCGAGCGAAAAUUCAAAGUCGAUUUUCUCGAAAACAAAGCCUCAAACGAAAAAUUUUUAUUCUAUAUUUUUGACUUCUUCUUUCGCGUAGAAUCACCCCCUUUCCGCUUGUACCACCAGUUAUCAACCACCCUGUAUAUAUAUAUAUAUA